GACGAACCGUGCGACCGUUGUUCGGAAUCACUGGGCUUAAAGGGCGCGUAGGCGGGCUGUCAAGUCCGGGGUGAAAUCUUUCGGCUCAACCGGAAAAGUGCCUUGGAUACUGAUGGUCUGGAGGGAGGUAGGGGUAUGUGGAACUUCCGGUGGAGCGGUGAAAUGCGUUGAUAUCGGAAGGAACGCCGGUGGCGAAAGCGACGUACUGGACCUCUUCUGACGCUGAGGCGCGAAAGCUAGGGGAGCGAACGGG
rnacentral:rRNA from 1 species